CUGAAUCUGUAGUUCAGGUAACAAUAUACCAGGGAAUCUGUGUGCCCUGUUUUCUCUCUUGAGGUUCAGCUGGUUUCCCCAAAAUUAGUCUGACAUUUAAAGGUGCCUUGGAAAUACAGAAAGUAAAAGUAGUCAUAGUCCCUCCAAACAGAAAAUCCUUGUUGAGCAGGCCCUGGCAAGCUCAGGCACAGCUUCAGCACAGCUUUUCUUAGCAAGCAGCUAUGGAGCUUUGGGACAUUUCCCCUUUCUGGCUACAUUUCACUGCAGUUGGAUGCCAGAGGCAGGAUUUGCACCAGAGGGCAGCUCUGGUGUGCAGAGAAGGAUCCCAGUGCAUGGGCAGUAGGGAAGAGCCAGGAAUCACAGCAGCAGGGGAAUUGCUCAGUGCACAGGAGUCUGAGCUCUUAGACAACACACCUGGGAGCCUUUGAUUUCAGGCGAUGAAAGAUUUUGAGAGGAGGAGGCAGCCCAUCUUAGAAGGAUUUGAACCAGACAGCUGCAGCAGCAAGCUUGACCAAAGGUCAGGGAACUUGUCUGAGGAGCUCAGUUCCUGUGGAUGCCAGCCAUCAUUUUGCUCCAGCUUUCUUCGGGUCUCUCUUGGAGAUUGCAGGCAUGUGGAUGAACUGCAGGAUCAAAACCUUCCAUUCCAAUUGGAAUAAUAAGAAAAGCCAUCUCAUGUGCUCAGACAAACUUCGGUUUCAUCAGCUGCCUUCUCUUGAUCUGCAGUAAGUACCAGCGAUCACACUUUGUAUGGUUACUUUGUUAGACAAGGGAGAAGUGCUCCUCUGAUGUUUUUUAUGACGUCCCUCUCUGCCACAGAAGGUGACACCACAGCAAACAAAAAUAGUGGGCAUAGCUAACAAAACAGUUCCCUUGCAAUCAAAGUGUAAAUAACACUUUGACAUUAUGACUUCAUUGCUAUAUAAUGCUUUCUUUGGAAUUGCAUUGCAAGCAGAAAGGCAAAUUAGUUUAAAGAAAGCCCAAAUCUCUGUGGAGCAGAGGUCUCAAGUGUGCUAUUUCUUCAUUGGCCAUCUUGCAGAGCAACCAGCAAACUGCAGCUUAGCCUGUUACCCUCUCAGGAGAACUAAUCUGGCCUUGAUGGAAGCAGAGGCUUGACAACAAAUCUGGAGAAUUUAGAAACAAGUGGAGAUCAGGUAAGAAGUAAAAGGAGUUAACCAAAAUAGAUAGUAUCACAGCAAGAGUAUCUUUAUUUUGUGAAAUAACUGAUUUUUGACAAGGAAAAUGGGAUCUCUUGAAACUUCAGUGAAGUA
rnacentral:lncRNA from 1 species